GACGAACGCUGGCGGCGUGCUUAACACAUGCAAGUCGAACGGAAAGGCCCUGCUUUUGUGGGGUGCUCGAGUGGCGAACGGGUGAGUAACACGUGAGUAACCUGCCCUUGACUUUGGGAUAACUUCAGGAAACUGGGGCUAAUACCGGAUAGGAGCUCCUGCUGCAUGGUGGGGGUUGGAAAGUUUCGGCGGUUGGGGAUGGACUCGCGGCUUAUCAGCUUGGUGGUGGGGUAGUGGCUUACCAAGGCUUUGACGGGUAGCCGGCCUGAGAGGGUGACCGGCCACAUUGGGACUGAGAUACGGCCCAGACUCCUACGGGAGGCAGCAGUGGAGAAUAUUGCACAAUGGGCGGAAGCCUGAUGCAGCAACGCCGCGUGCGGGAUGACGGCCUUCGGGUUGUAAACCGCUUUCGCCUGUGACGAAGCGUGAGUGGCGGUAAUGGGUAAAGAAGCACCGGCUAACUACGUG
rnacentral:rRNA from 1 species